UACGAAGGGGGCUAGUGUUGCUCGGAAUCACUGGGCGUAAAGGGUGCGUAGGCGGGUCUUUUAAGUCAGGGGUGAAAUCCUGGAGCUCAACUCCAGAACUGCCUUUGAUACUGAGGAUCUUGAGUUCGGGAGAGGUGAGUGGAACUGCGAGUGUAGAGGUGAAAUUCGUAGAUAUUCGCAAGAACACCAGUGGCGAAGGCGGCUCACUGGCCCGAUACUGACGCUGAGGCACGAAAGCGUGGGGAGCAAACAGGG
rnacentral:rRNA from 1 species